AGAGUUUGAUCCUGGCUCAGGAUGAACGCUGGCGGCGUGCUUAACACAUGCAAGUCGAACGAAGCGGCUGCAGGGAUUCCCUUCGGGGAGGAACAGUAGCUGUCUGAGUGGCGGACGGGUGAGUAACGCGUGGGCAACCUGCCCCAUACCGGGGGAUAACAGCCGGAAACGGCUGCUAAUACCGCAUACGCCCAGGAGGCUGCAUAGCUUCCUGGGGAAAACUCCGGUGGUAUGGGAUGGGCCCGCGUCUGAUUAGCUCGUUGGCGGGGUAACGGCCCACCAAGGCGACGAUCAGUAGCCGGCCUGAGAGGGCGGCCGGCCACAUUGGGACUGAGACACGGCCCAGACUCCUGCGGGAGGCAGCAGUGGGGAAUAUUGCACAAUGGGGGAAACCCUGAUGCAGCGACGCCGCGUGAGCGAUGAAGUAUCUCGGUAUGUAAAGCUCUAUCAGCAGGGAAGAAAGUGACAGUACCUGACUAAGAAGCCCCGGCUAACUACGUGCCAGCAGCCGCGGUAAUACGUAGGGGGCAAGCGUUAUCCGGAUUCACUGGGCGUAAAGGGAGCGCAGGCGGCACGGCAAGUCUGGUGUGAAAACCCGGGGCUCAACCCCGGGACUGCAUUGGAAACUGCCGGGCUGGAGUGUCGGAGGGGUAAGCGGAAUUCCUAGCGUAGCGGUGAAAUGCGUAGAUAUUAGGAGGAACACCAGUGGCGAAGGCGGCUUACUGGACGAUGACUGACGCUGAGGCUCGAAAGCGUGGGGAGCAAACAGGAUUAGAUACCCUGGUAGUCCACGCCGUAAA
rnacentral:rRNA from 1 species